AUGGAUUUGGCUGCAAGUGCUGCUGAUGUAGCCGAGUACUUCAAGGAUCAGAGAGGUCCCGAAGUGGAGAAGCUGUUCUGGUCACAGUUUCACACUCCAGUCCGUCCGCUGCUGCUGAAUGAGCGAUUGACCGGUUGGGCCGAGCUCCAUAGGUUGUCCGGACUUGCCAUGAGGUCCAUUGUGGAUCACCUGUGGUCGGGAGGGCCAAGGCCGAGUAGCUACUUUAGCUUAGUGCAACAAUUCCUUGAAGCGGUGCCAUGCAUCGAUGCUAUAAAGAGAUCAGCAUGCAUAGAAGAUGCGCGGAUGGCCCUUGCCCAUGUCAAAACAUACUGGGCGGAGAUGGAGGCCAGCACUAUUGCGGCACAGGGUUUGGCCAUAGGCCGAGUGGCUGCCAAGCACUACUUUGAAGAAGUCCUUGAAGGCACUCGUUCGAUAGAGGCUCAAUGCUCGAAGAAUAUCAUUUUCCAGUGA
rnacentral:rRNA from 1 species